UACGGAGGGUGCAAGCGUUGUCCGGAUUUAUUGGGUUUAAAGGGUGCGUAGGCGGCCUAAUAAGUCAGUGGUGAAAGCCUCCAGCUUAACUGGAGAACUGCCAUUGAUACUGUUAGGCCUGAGUAUACUUGAGGUAGGCGGAAUUGACAGUGUAGCGGUGAAAUGCAUAGAUAUUGUCAAGAACACCAAUUGCGAAGGCAGCUUACUAAAUUAUAACUGACGCUGAGGCACGAAAGUGUGGGUAUCAAACAGG
rnacentral:rRNA from 1 species